GAACGAGAGCGACCGGUGCUUGCACUGGUCAAUCUAGUGGCGAACGGGUGAGUAACACGUGGGUAACCUGCCCAUCAGAGGGGGAUAACAUCCGGAAACGGAUGCUAAAACCGCAUAGGUCUUCGAGCCGCAUGGCUUGAAGAGGAAAAGAGGCGCAAGCUUCUGCUGAUGGAUGGACCCGCGGUGCAUUAGCUAGUUGGUGAGGUAACGGCUCACCAAGGCCGUGAUGCAUAGCCGACCUGAGAGGGUGAUCGGCCACAUUGGGACUGAGACACGGCCCAAACUCCUACGGGAGGCAGCAGUAGGGAAUCUUCCGCAAUGGACGCAAGUCUGACGGAGCAACGCCGCGUGAGUGAAGAAGGUUUUCGGAUCGUAAAACUCUGUUGUUAGAGAAGAACAA
rnacentral:rRNA from 1 species